GACGAACGCUGGCGGCGUGCCUAAUACAUGCAAGUCGAGCGCAGGAAGCUGACGGAACUCUUCGGAGGGAAGGCAGUGGAAUGAGCGGCGGACGGGUGAGUAACACGUAAGGAACCUGCCUCAAGGAUUGGGAUAACUCCGAGAAAUCGGAGCUAAUACCGGAUAGUUCAUCGGACCGCAUGGUCCGUUGAUGAAAGGCGCUCCGGCGUCACCUUGAGAUGGCCUUGCGGUGCAUUAGCUAGUUGGUGGGGUAACGGCCCACCAAGGCGACGAUGCCUAGCGGCCCUGAGAGGGUGAACGGCCACACUGGGAAUGAGACACGGCCCAGACUCCUACGGGAGGCAGCAGUAGGGAAUCUUCCACAAUGGACGAAAGUCUGAUGGAGCAACGCCGCGUGAGUGAUGAAGGUUUUCGGAUCGUAAAACUCUGUUGUAAGGGAAGAACACGUACGAGAGGAAAUGCUCGUACCUUGACGGUACCUUACGAGAAAGCCACGGCUAACUACGUGCCAGCCGCCGCCGUAA
rnacentral:rRNA from 1 species